UGCCUUGAAAAGCGUGCUUGCUAUUUUGGGU
rnacentral:piRNA from 1 species